GUUCUGGUGGCUUGGCGCCAUGGAAACACCUGUUCCCAUUCCGAACACAGAAGUUAAGCGUGGUAGCGGCGAUGAUACUCUUUAAUGGGGAAAGUAGCUAGCCGCCGGUACA
rnacentral:rRNA from 2 species